CCAUAUCAAGUUGAAAUGCCGGUUCCCGUACGAUUACCGAAGUUAAACAACGUCGAGACUGGUCAGUAUCUAGACGGGUGACCGCUUGAGAAUGCCGGGUGUUGUAAG